rnacentral:rRNA from 1 species
UACGUAGGGUGCGAGCGUUAAUCGGAAUUACUGGGCGUAAAGCGUGCGCAGGCGGUUCGUUGUGUCUGUGGUGAAAUCCCCGGGCUUAACCUGGGAAUGGCCAUGGAAACUGGCGAACUGGAGUGCGGCAGAGGGGGGUGGAAUUCCGCGUGUAGCAGUGAAAUUCGUAGAGAUCAGGUGGAACACCGGAGGCGAAGGCGCCUGCCUGGCAGUGUAUUGACGCUGAGGUGCGAAAGUGCGGGGAGCAAACAGG